UAGUAUUCCUGUUUUUUGGUCCAAGAAAAGUUCAUUUUGUUUACAAUUAUCAGGAAUGUGUAAGAUGCUGCGAAAAACUCAUCGAAAAUAAUGACAAUGAACUGACACAACAACUUUCCCCUCUUUU
rnacentral:ribozyme from 14 species